GUUUUCUGUACAUGCAUCGUUACUAGUGAUGACUCAAAAACCCCAAAACCUGCAUCAAGUAAAAGGACGUGUCCAAAUGAAUAAACCCUUUUACCUGCACCAAUUCUGCCUCCUGCCUGAUUAU